rnacentral:lncRNA from 1 species
UCCCCUUCUGGAAGUCCAAAGAAGAACAAGUUGUUCAAACACUCACUUCAUCAACUAUAUUUAAAUAUACCUAUAUGCCAGCCCAAAAUAAAUUGUGAUUUGAUUAUUACUUUGUGUUAUAAUCGGCGAAUGCAUUUAUACAUAUAGUUCAAAGUCGAGGGCAAUUAAAGUUGUUGUGGUAAAGUGAAGACUUGUUCACGGGUUUGGAGCUCAUCACUUAGCGCUAAUCACCUUUUCUUUUCUUCUUCAGAAUCCUGUGGUUCAUCCUUUUCCAUGUGGAUUCUCCUGUCUGAUUUUUUUUUUUUUUUUUUGGUUAAUUUUUUGUCAUAAUGAUUGUUGAUUAGUGUUCAAACACUCACUUCAUCAACUAUAUUUAAAUAUACCUAUAUGCCAGCCCAAAAUAAAUUGUGAUUUGAUUAUUACUUUGUGUUAUAAUCGGCGAAUGCAUUUAUACAUAUAGUUCAAAGUCGAGGGCAAUUAAAGUUGUUGUGGUAAAGUGAAGACUUGUUCACGGGUUUGGAGCUCAUCACUUAGCGCUAAUCACCUUUUCUUUUCUUCUUCAGAAUCCUGUGGUUCAUCCUUUUCCAUGUGGAUUCUCCUGUCUGAUUU